rnacentral:rRNA from 1 species
AUUGAACGCUGGCGGCAUGCCUUACACAUGCAAGUCGAACGGUAACAGGUCUUCGGAUGCUGACGAGUGGCGAACGGGUGAGUAAUACAUCGGAACGUGCCCGAGAGUGGGGGAUAACGGAGCGAAAGCUUUGCUAAUACCGCAUACGAUCUACGGAUGAAAGCAGGGGACCGCAAGGCCUUGCGCUCAUGGAGCGGCCGAUGGCCGAUUAGGUAGUUGGUGGGAUAAAAGCUUACCAAGCCGACGAUCUGUAGCUGGUCUGAGAGGACGACCAGCCACACUGGGACUGAGACCCGGCCCAGAAUCCUCAGGGAGGAAGCAGUGGGGAAUGUUGGACAAUGGGCGCAAGCCUGAUCCAGCCAUGCCGCGUGCAGGAUGAAGGCCUUCUGGUUGUAAACUGCUUUUGUACGGAACGAAAAGCCUCGGGCUAAUAUCCUGGGGUCAUGACGGUACCGUAAGAAUAAGCACCGGCUAACUACGUGCCAGCCGCCGCCGUAACAC